CCUACGGGAGGCAGCAGUAGGGAAUAUUGCACAAUGAGGGAAACCCUGAUGCAGCAACGCCACGUGUGGGAAGAAGCAUUUCGGUGUGUAAACCACUGUCAUGAGGGAAUAAGGCCGCUUCGGGCGGGAUUGAAUGUACCUUGAGAGGAAGCACCGGCAAACUUCGUGCCAGCAGCCGCGGUAAU
rnacentral:rRNA from 1 species